AAGUCGUAACAAGGUUUCCGUAGGUGAACCUGCGGAAGGAUCAUUAUUGAAUCCAAAGGAUGUUGCUGGCCUCUCGGGGCAUGUGCACUCCAACUAUUUCAAUUCACCUGUGAACUUAUUGUAGGCCUGAUGUUACAGUCAGUGUCUAUGUUAUUAUACACUCUUUAUAAAAUAUAGAAUGUCUAAUGUAAGGCCUUUAAUGGUCAAAAACAUAAUACAACUUUCAACAAUGGAUCUCUUGGUUCUC
rnacentral:misc_RNA from 1 species